rnacentral:rRNA from 1 species
CCUACGGGUGGCAGCAGUGAGGAAUAUUGGUCAAUGGGCUUACGCCUGAACCAGCCAAGUCGCGUGAGGGAAGACUGCCCUAUGGGUUGUAAACCUCUUUUGUCAGGGAGCAAUUGGCGCUACGUGUAGCGUUAUCGAGAGUACCCGGAGAAAAAGCAUCGGCUAACUCCGUGCCAGCAGCCGCGGUAAUACGGAGGAUGCGAGCGUUAUCCGGAUUCAUUGGGUUUAAAGGGUGCGCAGGCGGGCCUUUAAGCCGGCGGUGAAAUCGCGGGGCUCAACCCCGCCGAGCCGUCGGAACUGGGGGCCUUGAGUGCGGCGGAGGCAUGCGGAAUGCGCGGUGUAGCGGUGAAAUGCAUAGAUAUCGCGCAGAACCCCGAUUGCGAAGGCAGCGUGCCGUGCCGCCACUGACGCUGAGGCACGAAAGCGCGGGGAUCGAACAGGAUUAGAUACCCCUGUAGUC